GAUGAACGCUAGCGGCAGGCUUAAUACAUGCAAGUCGAGGGGCAGCAUGAUUGUAGCAAUACAAUUGAUGGCGACCGGCAAACGGGUGCGGAACACGUACACAACCUUCCAAUAAGUGGGGAAUAGCCCAGAGAAAUUUGGAUUAAUACCCCGUAACAUAACGAUGUGGCAUCACAUUGUUAUUAUAGAUUUUUCGCUUAUUGAUGGGUGUGCGGCUGAUUAGAUAGUUGGCGGGGUAACGGCCCACCAAGUCUACGAUCAGUAGCUGAUGUGAGAGCAGGAUCAGCCACACGGGAACUUAGACACGGGCCCGACUCCUACGGGAGGCAGCAGUAAGGAAUAUUGGACAAUGGACGCAAGUCUGAUCCAGCCAUGCCGCGUGAAGGAUUAAGGUCCUCUGGAUUGUAAACUUCUUUUAUAAGGGACGAAAAAAGGCUUUUCUAAGUCGUCUGACGGUACCUUAUGAAUAAGCACCGGCUAACUCCGUGCCAGCCGCCGCCGUAACAC
rnacentral:rRNA from 1 species